CUUGGGGGGUGUUUGUGGCUCUGCCCGAACCUUUGAGAAACGCUGGUGCUUGGGGGCUUUGUGCUACAGAAUCGUGCUCAUCAUCAGCGCGGUUUGAUGUCUGAGGAGCUCCCUGAGGCGGUCACGAAAAAUAACUGUGCUAAAGUUAAUGUGGAACUGAAAGUGGGGAUUUGUUAGUGGCAUAACCUUCCAGAGCUGUGUAGAAUGCGGUUUUCCCAGCGAUGACUGUUGGCCGUUAAUUUUCUCUCUUUAAACAAAAACGCGGCUGCUCGGCUUUGUCCAGGAAUUAAAUCUGAGGAACAACUUCUUUACAUUGAGGGUGACAGAACUCUGAAACAGGCUGCCCAGGAAGGUCGUGGAGUCUCUCUCUCUGGAGACAUUACAAACCCACCUGGAUGCGUUCUCGUAUCACCGGCUCUAGAUGACCUUGUCUUGGCAGGGACAUUGGACUAGAUGAUCUCUAGAAGCCCCUUCAAACCCUAACAAUUCUGUGAUACUGUGAUCUCUUUGUCUGGCAACAUGGUUUGUGCUAGAGGAUUAAAAAGGCCUUAAGAAUCUUUUUAUUUUUGACUUGAUGAAGUAGUUAUAUUCCUGUAGUCUUUUUUCUUUUUCUUUUGAGAAAACCAUUUUUGUUGUUGUUUUAUAAAAAUAGGUCUGUUUUUUUUUCUCUCCUUGCUGCAGUAAUGACAAUGUAUAUGAGUGACUUACCUGAUGCUCUUAAAAGAUGAACGACGUGGAGAAAUAAUGGUUUUGUGGUGAUAUCGUGUUGGGAGUGAGAAAAGGUUUCCUACCUUGACCUUUUGUGCAAUGAGAUGCGGAGCAGACAAAGCACGGGAGGACGCUCUCCCGGGGGCAAUUCCAGGCGGCGGAAGCACGGACACCGCCAGUGACUGGCUGCCACACGUCCCUCCGUGCGAGGGAAUUCCCCGGGCCCUCCUCGUGUGCCUCGAGCAAUGACUCCCGGCGGGAGCGACGCCAGAAAUCCGCGCUGCAUUGUGCCUGCGGGGCGGCUCACGACUCCAGUCAGAAUAAUUAAUCCUAU